GGGUAAGACCCCAGAAAGACUAUCUGGUUGAUAGGUCGAAGGUGUAAGUGCAGCAAUGUAUUUAGCUUAUCGAUACUAAUAGGUCGAGGACUUGACCAA
rnacentral:rRNA from 1 species